AAACAUGGUGACGUUCAUGUGUAGUGUAAUAUUGACAACAAGAAUGUAAAUAGCUCGCGAAGUCAUUAUUAACCCAUGGAAAUUAAUUCUUAAACUAUGUGUUCAUUUAUAUGCAGUUUAUAGUGGAAUUGAAAUUGUUGGAUCAUGUUUAUGAUAAUUUUGUUUUCUUUUUCCUCCCAGAUAAAUUGAAUAUUUCACAACAGUGAGCUAUUAUGUGGAACAAAUUGUCUCAAGCUGCUGGCCUUGCAUCAACUGAAGCUGAGCUUGAAAAGGUUGAUGAGGAAGCCUUAAAAUCUGCUGAUAAAGAGCAGCUUGAGCAGCAAACUUUAUUGAUCCAGCAGUUGAAAGAUUUGCUAAGAGAAAAUGAGACACGUUACCAAGACAAAGAGAAAGAGUUAGAAGUAAAGCUUAUCUUAGUAAAUUAUAUGGAAUUAUUUAUAUGAUUUAAUCUCAUUUUAUAAUUUUUAUUGGUAGUUUAUUUUUGGUUGUAAGUGAAGA